AACGAACGCUGGCGGCAGGCCUAACACAUGCAAGUCGAGCGCGCCCUUCGGGUUUAGCGGCGGACGGGUGAGUAACGCGUGGGAACGUGCCCUUUUCUACGGAAUAGCCUCGGGAAACUGAGAGUAAUACCGUAUACGCCCUUUGGGGGAAAGAUUUAUCGGAGAAGGAUCGGCCCGCGUUGGAUUAGGUAGUUGGUGGGGUAAUGGCCUACCAAGGCGACGAUCCAUAGCUGGUUUGAGAGGAUGAUCAGCCACACUGGGACUGAGACACGGCCCAGACUCCUACGGGAGGCAGCAGUGGGGAAUAUUAGACAAUGGGGGCAACCCUGAUCUAGCCAUGCCGCGUGAGUGAUGAAGGCCUUAGGGUUGUAAAGCUCUUUCAGCUGGGAAGAUAAUGACGGUACCAGCAGAAGAAGCCCCGGCUAACUCCGUG
rnacentral:rRNA from 1 species